UUAUGUUGUCGACUAAUCGGUAAGUCAUAAAUUUUUGGUAUUUACUAUUGGGUGUUCGAGUCGCCCCAACAUAAU